rnacentral:rRNA from 1 species
UACAGAGGGGGCAAGCGUUAUUCGGAAUUAUUGGGCGUAAAGCGCUCGCAGGUGGUUCAUUGCGUCGUGCGUGAAAGACCCCGGCUCAACUGGGGAGGGUCGUGCGAAACGGGUGAACUAGAGGCCAGUAGGGGGAUGCGGAAUUCCGGGUGUAGUGGUGGAAUGCGUAGAGAUCCGGAGGAACACCAGCGGCGAAGGCGGCAUCCUGGACUGGUCCUGACACUCAGGAGCGAAAGCGUGGGGAGCGAUCCGG